rnacentral:rRNA from 1 species
UACGUAGGGUGCAAGCGUUGUCCGGAAUUAUUGGGCGUAAAGAGCUCGUAGGCGGUCUGUCGCGUCGGAUGUGAAAAUCCAGGGCUCAACCCUGGACCUGCAUUCGAUACGGGCAGACUAGAGUUCGGCAGGGGAGACUGGAAUUCCUGGUGUAGCGGUGAAAUGCGCAGAUAUCAGGAGGAACACCGGUGGCGAAGGCGGGUCUCUGGGCCGAUACUGACGCUGAGGAGCGAAAGCGUGGGGAACGAACAGG